rnacentral:rRNA from 1 species
UACGGAGGAUCCAAGCGUUAUCCGGAAUUACUGGGCGUAAAGAGUUGCGUAGGCGGCAUAGUAAGCGAGUAGUGAAAUGAUGUGGCUCAACCAUGUGUCCAUUACUUGAACUGCUAAGCUAGAGCAUGAAAGAGGUAGCUGGAAUUCCCUGUGUAGGAGUGAAAUCCGUAGAUAUAGGGAGGAACACCGAUGGCGUAGGCAGGCUACUGGUUCAUUGCUGACGCUCAGGCACGAAAGCGUGGGGAGCGACCGGG